rnacentral:ribozyme from 12 species
AGGGAGAAGGAGAAGAGCGAGAAAUACGUUUUUUGUCUGCAUUCUUUCCUCCCUCUACCAUUGACGUUUCUUUUUCGUCGUUUUCUUCUUUGUUGUCGUUUUCUUCUUUUUCUUCUUC